rnacentral:rRNA from 1 species
GAUGAACGCUGGCGGCGUGCCUAGUACAUGCAAGUCGAACGCUUCACUUCGGUGAAGAGUGGCGAACGGGUGAGUAAUACAUAAGUAACCUGGCAUCUACAGGGGGAUAACUGAUGGAAACGUCAGCUAAGACCGCAUAGGCGUAGAGAUCGCAUGAACUCUAUAUGAAAAGUGCUACGGGACUGGUAGAUGAUGGACUUAUGGCGCAUUAGCUUGUUGGUAGGGUAACGGCCUACCAAGGCGACGAUGCGUAGCCGACCUGAGAGGGUGACCGGCCACACUGGGACUGAGACACGGCCCAGACUCCUACGGGAGGCAGCAGUAGGGAAUUUUCGGCAAAGGGGGAAACCCUGACCGAGCAACGCCGCGUGAAGGAAGAAGUAAUUCGUUAUGUAAACUUCUGUCAUAGAGGAAGAACGGUGGAUAUAGGGAAUGAUAUCCAAGUGACGGUACUCUAUAAGAAAGCCACGGCUAACUACGUG